GUUAACUCUUUUCAUAGUUAUUCUCUCGAAAUCGUGAAAUUGCAGCAAUGGAACUCUUGAAAUUCGCGGUUUUUGCGAUGACAGCUGUCAUCUACUGGAUUUCGUACGCUGAGACUGCGUUGCCUCCUAAUUGGUCAUUUUGCGACAGACCUGACGGCAGAUGUUAGUUACAUCAAGUAAUAAUUCUAUCACAUUCUAUUAUUCCUUUUAAUCAAUAUUUGAAUAGUAAGUAAUUUUACUAAAUUUGAUAUCUGAAACGUGGACAAAUGAUCGAUGCUGGUGGUUUGGAAUUGACAUGAGAGUUUCUGGAUAUCUUUUCUUUUAAAGUAAUUAACCAACAUAAUAAAUUCCUUAACCAUUAAUAUUGCGUAACGGAAAAUUGUUCGCAAUGGACAAUUGCAGUAUUGUAAUGAUUGGAAAUUAAAUAUAUUGGUAUUGAAUUAACUAUUGAUGAAUAAUAUUGGCUGCCCAGGGGAAACCCAGGGAAAACAUUUCCAUUCUUCUUCAUUCGUCUUUCCUCCCGCAUAAUAUUCAUUUUGUACGCGGAAACAAUAAAUUAGAUAGUGUUGCAGUUUAUGAAGGAUGACAGCCGCAUGUCGUUUUUAUCUUUAAAACAGUCCAUAGGCAUUGAGUAUAUAAAUCGAAUAGUAGUCUAGAAGGGUCCAUACCUACUUCGACGGUGCAAGUGAGCUCUUUGUAAUUAUCCCCUCGAACUAUGGAACCCUUGAAAGUUGCGGUUUUCGUGAUGGUUGCUGUCAUUUGGUGCAUCUCAUAUGCUCAGGCAUCACCUGUUCCGAUAUACUGCGAGCCAUUCCGUGGCUGCCAUGGUGACUAGUUCAACUGGAACGUGCACAAUUGAGGGAUGGGGGUGGCAUGGAAUUGACUUGGCUGUUUACGAAUAUCUUUUCCAGGGUUGAAAUGUUUCGUUGUAAUUAUCAAAAUGAAUUAUGUAAUUCUAUCUGUUGGAAAUAAAAUAUAAUAAUGCUGAAGCAAUUA